rnacentral:tRNA from 1 species
UCCUUGGUGGCCCAGAUAGUCAGGAAUCUGCCUCCAAUGCAGGAGACCCAGGUUUGACCCCUGGCCCAGGAA